rnacentral:rRNA from 1 species
UAGGGAAUCUUCCACAAUGGACGCAAGUCUGAUGGAGCAACGCCGCGUGAGUGAAGAAGGUUUUCGGAUCGUAAAGCUCUGUUGUUGGUGAAGAAGGAUAGAGGUAGUAACUGGCCUUUAUUUGACGGUAAUCAACCAGAAAGUCACGGCUAACUACGUGCCAGCAGCCGUGGUAAUACGUAGGUGGCAAGCGUUGUCCGGAUUUAUUGGGCGUAAAGCGAGCGCAGGCGGAAGAAUAAGUCUGAUGUGAAAGCCCUCGGCUUAACCGAGGAACUGCAUCGGAAACUGUUUUUCUUGAGUGCAGAAGAGGAGAGUGGAAUUCCAUGUGUAGCGGUGGAAUGCGUAGAUAUAUGGAAGAACACCAGUGGCGAAGGCGACUCUCUGGUCUGCAACUGACGCUGAGGCUCGAAAGCAUGGGUAGCGAACAGG